UCCCCUAGCAAGAAUGAGGAAGAUGAAGAGCUCGGGUAUCUGAGGGCUGGUGUGUCUGCAUGCGUGUGUGUUUUGGGGGCCGACUGAAGGAAGAGAAGGCUGGAGAGAGGGAACAUGGGUCUGAGGGCACAUCGCUAAGGGGUCAAGAGGCCUAAAGGAGGAGUCUAAGGCUCUCCAUCGAACUUGGACUUGGUCUACAUUAGACUUUAACCUCCAUGAGGCUUGGACUUUCAGGCUUCCUCCCUCACACCGCGGGCAGGUGAGGCGUCUGCUACAGGCCUGGUCUCGCAGAGGGGGCCCAGCGCCCCCCGCCGCCGCCUUCUCCUGGAGUCUGUGUGACAGAAUGGGACCUGUGGGAAAGCAGCACGUCAGCACCCAGCCCCGCUUGCGCGCCAGCAGCUAAUUAAAGCCAGGAAGGUGAUGGCGAUUUUCAACUCAUUCCCGUUACAAACAGCCGACCUUCCUACCGAGUUCAAGUACCUUCUGCCUGGCCUGGAAGAACAAUAUCUCUCUGUCUCCCUCUUCCACUGGCCCUCACCUGCCUUCCCCUGAACAUGCAUUUUGCCUGACAGGAGACAGAGGCAGUUGAGAUGGAGUCUUGCUAUAUGGCCCAGCUGGUAAUGCCUAGAUUCUUGAGUCCCUCCCUGGCUCAUCCCUGGGAGCAGCACUGAACCCCUUGUCUGACACCUGUCUGGAAAUGGAGCCUGCACAUUGACCCUAGAUGCUUGCAGCUUGGUCCAGGAGGCCAGCAGGACCAGAGAGAAGACCACAGCGACACAUGGGGAUGGCUGUCCCACAGGCAGAAAUGAGCAGCCGGGAGGAAGCCCAGGCAGCCAGCCACCCAGCUCCCUCCACAUCGUGGCCCUAGAACGGAGUCUUGAAGAAUAAGAAGCCACAGCUUGUCAGGGAAUCAGGCUGGAAAAAUGUUAUGAGACUGAGUAAGACCAGAGUUUCUGGGUCAUUGGUGAGACUGGAUUUCAUAGAAGAGUCUUUGCUACAGCAAAACCUCUCUUCAAGCAAUACACUAUUCAAGCUGCUGGAGGCUAGAUUGACCAGAAAAAUGGGGCCAAUAUCAUGCCUCUUAUGGAGGAGCAGUGUUGAACUUAAUGGAGCAUCUCUGCACUCUUCAAGCUGCUGGAGAAUG
rnacentral:lncRNA from 1 species